GACGUAGGGAGCAAGCGUUGCCCGGAAUUACUGGGCGUAAAGAGCUCGUAGGCGGGGGCGUGCGUCCGAAAGGAAAUCUCAGGGCUCAACUCUGGGGCUUUUUCGGAUACGGCGCUUCUUGAGGGUGAGAGAGGAAAGCGGAAUUCCAGGUGUAGCGGUGAAAUGCGUAGAUAUCUGGAGGAACACCAGCGGCGAAGGCGGCUUUCUGGCUCAUUCCUGACGCUGAGGAGCGAAAGCGUGGGUAGCGAAC
rnacentral:rRNA from 1 species